rnacentral:rRNA from 1 species
UUGCUUUUCUUAGCUUAGUGGCGAACGGGUGAGUAACGCGUGAGCAACCUGCCUUUCAGAGGGGGACAACAGCUGGAAACGGCUGCUAAUACCGCAUAACAUGAUUUAGCCGCAUGACUGGAUCAUCAAAGAUUUAUCGCUGAAAGAUGGGCUCGCGUCUGAUUAGCUAGUUGGUGGGGUAAAGGCCCACCAAGGCGACGAUCAGUAGCCGGACUGAGAGGUUGAACGGCCACAUUGGGACUGAGACACGGCCCAGACUCC